AGUGAACGCUGGCGGUAGGCCUAACACAUGCAAGUCGAACGGCAGCACAGUAAGAGCUUGCUCUUACGGGUGGCGAGUGGCGGACGGGUGAGGAAUACAUCGGAAUCUACUUUUUCGUGGGGGAUAACGUAGGGAAACUUACGCUAAUACCGCAUACGACCUACGGGUGAAAGCAGGGGAUCUUCUGACCUUGCGCGAUUGAAUGAGCCGAUGUCGGAUUAGCUAGUUGGCGGGGUAAAGGCCCACCAAGGCGACGAUCCGUAGCUGGUCUGAGAGGAUGAUCAGCCACACUGGAACUGAGACACGGUCCAGACUCCUACGGGAGGCAGCAGUGGGGAAUAUUGGACAAUGGGCGCAAGCCUGAUCCAGCCAUACCGCGUGGGUGAAGAAGGCCUUCGGGUUGUAAAGCACUUUUGUUGGGAAAGAAAAGCAGCAGGUUAAUACCCCGCUGUUCUGACGGUACCCAAAGAAUAAGCACCGGCUAACUUCGUG
rnacentral:rRNA from 1 species